rnacentral:rRNA from 1 species
AUGGAAAUUCCCCCUGCUUAUGAUUCAGAAUUGGACUACGACGAUUCUAUUUUGUUGUAUCGGUUGGUUUGUUCAUUUUGGCCUUCGUGCACUUGGCUUGGUAGGGUUACACCAGCAGAAAGUACAGGGGGUUUGAACUGUACUCGACAGUGGAAUUGGCAUAAAAAUAUUCAGGUAGUUGAUUAUUCUAAUCACGCGUCUGCCUGUUUCUCACAUGUUGUGCAUCAGAAGAGAUAUUGUUCAGGAACAGUAGUUAGAUUAUCCAGGAUUAUGGGCCACUUCCAUAGCCUGGUUCUAGCUAGGCGCAUAUGUUUUCAGAAUUCAGAUAGCGACACUCUAUCUUGUGGAACUGUGCUUGUUUGCAAGUACUCUUUGUCAAAAAUUAAACAGUAA